rnacentral:piRNA from 1 species
UUGUCAUUUUUUUUCAUUCAG